rnacentral:ncRNA from 1 species
UCUUAUCAAGAGUCGGUGGAGGGAAUACCCCCUGUGAAGCCCAGCAACCCCUUCUAACGUAGAAGAAUGGUGCUAAAGGUUGCAGAAAUAAUGAUUUCUGAACGAUAAGA